AGCAGCAUGGCCUUGUGGUUAAAGCACGGGCCUGGGAGUCUGAAGGACCCGGGUUCUAAUCCCAGUUCUGCCA
rnacentral:tRNA from 1 species